rnacentral:pre_miRNA from 1 species
CUCGGGGGUGGGGGGUCCCUUAGCCCAGAUUGCGAGAGGGCACAGGCCAGGCCAAGGGACACCACCUGUGCAAG